GAUGAACGCUAGCGGGAGGCCUAACACAUGCAAGCCGAGCGGUAUUGUUUCUUCGGAAAUGAGAGAGCGGCGUACGGGUGCGUAACACGUGUGCAACCUGCCUUUAUCUGGGGGAUAGCCUUUCGAAAGGAAGAUUAAUACUCCAUAAUAUAUUGAACGGCAUCGUUUAAUAUUGAAAGCUCCGGCGGAUAGAGAUGGGCACGCGCAAGAUUAGCUAGUUGGUGAGGUAACGGCUCACCAAGGCGAUGAUCUUUAGGGGGCCUGAGAGGGUGAUCCCCCACACUGGUACUGAGACACGGACCAGACUCCUACGGGAGGCAGCAGUGAGGAAUAUUGGUCAAUGGGUGCAAGCCUGAACCAGCCAUCCCGCGUGAAGGACGACUGCCCUAUGGGUUGUAAACUUCUUUUGUAUAGGGAUAAACCUACCCUCGGGAGGGUAGCUGAAGGUACUAUACGAAUAAGCACCGGCUAACUCCGUG
rnacentral:rRNA from 1 species